GAUGAACGCUAGCGGCAGGCUUAAUACAUGCAAGUCGAGGGACAGCACAGGUAGCAAUACUGGGUGGUAACCGGCAAACGGGUGCGGAACACGUACACAACCUUCCUUUAAGUGGGGGAUAGCCCAGAGAAAUUUGGAUUAAUACCCCGUAAUAUAGUUGAAUGGCAUCAUUUGAUUAUUAUAGCUACGGCGCUUAAUGAUGGGUGUGCGGCUGAUUAGAUAGUUGGCGGGGUAACGGCCCACCAAGUCUACGAUCAGUAGCUGAUGUGAGAGCAUGAUCAGCCACACGGGGACUGAGACACGGGCCCGACUCCUACGGGAGGCAGCAGUAAGGAAUAUUGGUCAAUGGACGCAAGUCUGAACCAGCCAUGCCGCGUGAAGGAUUAAGGUCCUCUGGAUUGUGAACUUCUUUUAUUUGGGACGAAAAAGGGCCUUUCUAGGUCAACUGACGGUACCAGAUGAAUAAGCACCGGCUAACUCCGUGCCAGCAGCCGCGGUAAUAC
rnacentral:rRNA from 1 species